GAUGAACGCUGGCGGCGUGCUUAACACAUGCAAGUCGAACGAUGAAGCCCAGCUUGCUGGGUGGAUUAGUGGCGAACGGGUGAGUAACACGUGAGUAACCUGCCCUUAACUCUGGGAUAAGCCUGGGAAACUGGGUCUAAUACCGGAUAGGAGCGUCCACCGCAUGGUGGGUGUUGGAAAGAUUUAUCGGUUUUGGAUGGACUCGCGGCCUAUCAGCUUGUUGGUGAGGUAAUGGCUCACCAAGGCGACGACGGGUAGCCGGCCUGAGAGGGUGACCGGCCACACUGGGACUGAGAUACGGCCCAGACUCCUACGGGAGGCAGCAGUGGGGAAUAUUGCACAAUGGGCGAAAGCCUGAUGCAGCGACGCCGCGUGAGGGAUGACGGCCUUCGGGUUGUAAACCUCUUUCAGUAGGGAAGAAGCGAAAGUGACGGUACCUGCAGAAGAAGCACCGGCUAACUACGUG
rnacentral:rRNA from 1 species